GGAUAUCUCAUCUCAUGUACAAGGGAGGGACCAUUAGGCUCAGUUCCAAAGUCAACAAAGAAUUUGGGGUUAAUUUUGAUCCCACCUUCUUCAGAAUCAACAUCAAUCUGUAACAUGUGUGAUCCUUUUUCUAUAAGCUCCUGAUAAACUUGUUUAUUUGCACUAAAGAGUGAGUUUGUGACAUAUAAUCUCUUCCCUUCUAAACUCAGCUGAAUCAUUUGAGGACCUCCUCUCAACUUAUUUCCCUGAAAAGGAAAAGUUUUAUUGAUAUCAUCAGCAUCAGAUACAAUCAUGGUAGUU
rnacentral:lncRNA from 1 species